rnacentral:lncRNA from 1 species
AAUUCCUUCUCAAGAAUACUCAAGCUAUCAUGGAAAAUCCCUAUUUUUCUCUCUCUAAACUUUCAACUAGUGAGAGAAAGUAUUGAGGAAAGACUUUUGAGGGUCCUUGAGGUGUGGAAGUGAAGGAGCAUGAAAAACCCUAUGGAAAAGUGCUCACAAGCAUGAGAAUUGGAAUUAACUUGAAAAAGAUAUGGAAGUUUCAAGGUUUCCUCCCAUGGAGGAUGAAGAAAAACGUGAAUUGGAGAGAAG